rnacentral:rRNA from 1 species
CAAUAGCGUAUAUUAAAGCUGUUGCGGUUAAAAAGCUCGUAGUUGGAUUUCUGUCAAGGACAACUGGUCCGCCCUCCGGGUGAGCACAUAGUUUGGUCUUGACAUCUUGCUGGAAGCUGUUGCUGUACUUGGCUGUGUGGCGCAGUGUUCAGCACUUUCACUUUGAGGAAAUUGGAGUGUUUCAAGCAGGCACAUGCCUUUGGACACAGUAGCAUGGAAUAAUUAGAUUGGGCUUUUGCUCCAAUUUGUCGGUUUCUGGAGCUGAGGUGAGUAUUAAUGGGGAUUGUUGGGGGCAUCCGAAUUUAGCCGUCAGAGGUGAAAUUCUUGGAUCUGCUAAAGACGGACAACUGCGAAAGCGUUUGCCCAGGAUGUUUUCAUUGA